rnacentral:rRNA from 1 species
ACUCAAAUGAAUUGACGGGGACCCGCACAAGCGGUGGAUGAUGUGGAUUAAUUCGAUGCAACGCGAAAAACCUUACCUACCCUUGACAUGUCAAGAAUUCUGCAGAGAAGUGGAAGUACUCGCAAGAGAACUUGAGCACAGGUGCUGCAUGGCUGUCGUCAGCUCGUGUCGUGAGAUAUUGGGUUAAGUCCCGCAACGAGCGCAACCCUUAUCAUUAGUUGCUACGGAAGAGCACUCUAAUGAGACUGCCGGUGACAAGCCGGAGGAAGGCGGGGAUGACGUCAAGUCCUCAUGGCCCUUAUGGGUAGGGCUUCACACGUCAUACAAUGGUACAUACAGAGGGUUGCGAAGCUGUGAAGCGGAGCCAAUCUCAGAAAAUGUAUCGUAGUCCGGAUUGCAGUCUGCAACUCGACUGCAUGAAGUUGGAAUCGCUAGUAAUCGCAGAUCAGCAUGCUGCGGUGAAUACGUUCCCGGGUCUUGCACACACCGCCCGU